AUUGAACGCUGGCGGAAUGCUUUACACAUGCAAGUCGAACGGCAGCACGGGGCAACCUGGUGGCGAGUGGCGAACGGGUGAGUAAUACAUCGGAACGUGCCCAAUCGUGGGGGAUAACGUAGCGAAAGUUACGCUAAUACCGCAUACGAUCUACGGAUGAAAGCGGGGGAUCGCAAGACCUCGCGCGAAUGGAGCGGCCGAUGUCAGAUUAGGUAGUUGGUGGGGUAAAGGCUCACCAAGCCAACGAUCUGUAGCUGGUCUGAGAGGACGACCAGCCACACUGGGACUGAGACACGGCCCAGACGCCUACGGGAGGCAGCAGUGGGGAAUUUUGGACAAUGGGCGCAAGCCUGAUCCAGCCAUUCCGCGUGCAGGAUGAAGGCCUUCGGGUUGUAAACUGCUUUUGUACGGAACGAAACGGUUCUCUCUAAUACAGGGGGCUAAUGACGGUACCGUAAGAAUAAGCACCGGCUAACUACGUGCCAGCAGCCGCGGUAAUAC
rnacentral:rRNA from 1 species